CUUCCAGGUCAGAUUCUUCACCUUUACUUCCAGCGAGGUGUAUGUCCCAUGGACCUCAUGGAGCUACUCCUGUAGAAAAUACUGUUCCACAAAACAGAGCUCAGAUGGGCAUGAUUUAGCCUCCACCAUCCAGUGGCUUUAAUUAUGGAGAGAAACUUCAGCAAACUCUGAAUGGAAAUGUUCUGGCUGUUGUCAGUCAAAAUGAAGAAAAGGUUGGAGCAUAAUUAAGCUAAACAUUGCAUUAAACGUCUCAUGUUUGGUGACCAGCUCUUGCACACUGGUAACACCUUGCUCCACAAAUGGCCACAUUGAAUUCAGUGGAGUGACAGCUUGUAGUCAGAUAACACUUGGUAACUGAUGGGAUCCCUACUGGAUUUGUGAAUUUGUCAGACUGAAAUGUAGUCCAUUCACUACUCAAGUCAGCUUCUUCCAGUCUGGAAAGCACAUAACUCAGCAAGAAAACUGUUUAGAGCAGGGGGUGAUGAACACCGCGCUAUGGAAACUGUGAAGGGGAAUUGGGGCAGGUGCAGUGCAGUGAGCUAACUAGACAUUUGGUAGGAAUGUGGCAGUUUUUACAAGCCAGUUUCUGAAAAACACAAUGUGGCAUCUCUAGUGUGUUAGAUAAUUUCAGGUGAGGGUUUCUUCUGAAAGCAGAGCCUCUGGUUUAAGCACCUGUCAGAUCUGUGGGCUGUGAGGCAGCAGGA